AACAAAGAAAAAAGGCACAAACAAGAAAAUGACAAGUGUGGAGAAACUUUGUGUGUUUUUAUAUUUUUCUUUCUUGUUGUUGGAAAAAUCAUACUUCUUUUUUCAACACUUGUAGAACUAAUCUAAUGCCCAAAACCCUUGGUUGUGGUCGUGUCAGAAACGGCAAAAAAGAUCAUAAAGU
rnacentral:ribozyme from 12 species